rnacentral:rRNA from 1 species
GACGAACGCUGGCGGCGUGCCUAACACAUGCAAGUCGAACGGUGGACGUCUUCGGACUCCUUCAGUCGCGAACGGGUGGGUAACUCGUGCGUAACCUGCCCCCGGCUCUGGGAUAAUUCCAACAAAUUGGGGCUACUACCGGCUGUUCACUCCUUCCCGCGUGGGUGGGGGUGCAUCGGGUCUCCGGCUGGGGGUGGGCCCGCGGCCGAUGGGCUUGUUUGUGGGGUAGUGGCCUAUCAAGGCGAAGACGGGUAACCGGCCUGGGAGGGUGAACCGCCACACUAGGACUGCGACAGGGAGCAGAGGCGUACGGGAGGCAGGAGGCGGGAACCUUGCGCAACGGUGGCGAGUCUGACGCAAAGACGCCGCGAGGGGGAUGACGGCCUUGGGGGUGUAAAGCGCAGUCAGCUGAGACGUAGCGGAAGUGACGGUACCUACAGAAGAAGCACCGGCCAACUACGUG